GAUGAACGCUGGCGGCGUGCCUAAUACAUGCAAGUCGAGCGAACGGACGAGAAGCUUGCUUUUCUGAUGUUAGCGGCGGACGGGUGAGUAACACGUGGAUAACCUACCUAUAAGACUGGGAUAACUUCGGGAAACCGGAGCUAAUACCGGAUAAUAUUUUGAACCGCAUGGUUCAAAAGUGAAAGACGGUCUUGCUGUCACUUAUAGAUGGAUCCGCGCUGCAUUAGCUAGUUGGUAAGGUAACGGCUUACCAAGGCAACGAUGCAUAGCCGACCUGAGAGGGUGAUCGGCCACACUGGAACUGAGACACGGUCCAGACUCCUACGGGAGGCAGCAGUAGGGAAUCUUCCGCAAUGGGCGAAAGCCUGACGGAGCAACGCCGCGGGAGUGAUGAAGGUCUUCGGAUCGUAAAACUCGGUUAUUAGGGAAGAACAUAUGUGUAAGUAACUGUGCACAUCUUGACGGUACCUAAUCAGAAAGCCACGGCUAACUACGUGC
rnacentral:rRNA from 1 species